AGCUGGUAGAGCAAUUGACUCUUAAUCAAUGGGUCCAGGGUUCGAGUCCCUGAGGGUGUACA
rnacentral:tRNA from 1 species